CCGGGGGGACCUGAAGUCGGUAACCGCAAGGAGCCGCCUAGGGUAAAACCGGUAAUUGGGGCUAAGUCGUAACAAGGUAGCCGUAUCGGAAGGUGCGGCUGGAAUACCUCCUUUUUAGAGCUCAUU
rnacentral:rRNA from 1 species